rnacentral:rRNA from 1 species
UACGUAUUAACGGCAGCGGUACUCUGACCGUAUAAAGGUAGCAUAAUCACUUGGCUUUUUAUUGAGGUCUGGUAUGAAUGGCUUAACGAUUGGUUAACUUUAAUUUUUUAAAUAAAAGAAAUUAAAAUUUAAGUUAAAAUUCUUAAAUUGUAUAAGGGGACGAGAAGACCCUAUAGAUCUUUACAUUUAUAUUAUUAAUGUUUAGUUGGGGCGAUUUAAGAAAUUAACUUCUGUGAUUAUUAGUUUAUCAAAUUAUAAAAAAGAAGGUCAUUAUUUAUCUAUAUGAAAAGUUACCUUAGGGAUAACAGAGUGAUAUUAAAUGAGGAAAAUUAUUUGAAUUUAAGAUUGCGACCUCGAUGUGGAAUAAGGAUAUUUAUCAUAAGCACAACUUUGGUGAAUUAGUCUGUUCGACUAUUCAAACCC